AGUGAACGCUGGCGGUAGGCCUAACACAUGCAAGUCGAACGGCAGCACAGUAAGAGCUUGCUCUUACGGGUGGCGAGUGGCGGACGGGUGAUUUAUACAUCGGAAUUUACUUUUUCGUGGGGGAUAACGUAGGGAAACUUACUCUAAUACCUCAUACGACCUACGGCUUAAAGCAGCGGAUCUUCGUACCUUGCUCGCAUGAAUGAGCCGACGUCGGAUUAGAUAGUUGGCGGGGUAAAGGCCCACCAAGGCGACGCUCCGUAGCUGGUCUGACAGGAUGUUCAGCCACACUGGAAUUGAGACACGGUCCAGACUCCUACGGGAGGCAGCAGUGGGGAAUAUUGGACAAUGGGCGCAAGCCUGAUCCAGCCAUACCGAGUGGGUGAAGAAGGCCUUCGGGUUGUAAAGCCCUUUUGUUGGGAAAGAAAAGCAGCAGGUUAAUACCCCGCUGUUCUGACGGUAACCAAAGAAUAAGCACCGGCUAACUUCGUG
rnacentral:rRNA from 1 species